rnacentral:lncRNA from 1 species
GCUAUAAAAUUCUGAGACUAAAUAUCAAAUUAAAGAAAGUACUAAUUGUCAGUGAUGGGGGAUGCACUGCUAUUUGCUUCUAGUGGUACUCACUGCUAAUUUCCUAUAUUCACUGGCAUAAAAAAAUUUCAAACACCCUCAAAAAAGCCUAUACUGGUGGUACCAGGAAAACACUAAAAAUCAUCACUCUCUGUGUUAUGUCCAGCUUUUUUGGUUACAUCAUCACUUCGACCAUUCACUUUUAAAGAAAAACUUUUGUGGAACAAAAAUGUAAAGAUUUUUUUUUUCUUGGUGGCUUAGCACAGUGGCCUAAUGUGGAUGACAAUGUGUGCCUGUUGUGUGAGUCACUUAGACGUGCUUUGUUUCUUGGUCACAGUUUAUCCCUCAACUCAAGCAUCUCACCCUCAAAAUGUUUGGGACCCAAGUGGCAAACCUUGACAUGGGUUAUUUCUUUCACCUUGGAUUGGCUCAAUCCGCUGGGAGUGGAGCCAAACUGACAUUUCCUUUUCUUUCUCUUCUUUCUUUCCUUUUUGUCUGCCUAUCACUAGGUAGAGGCAGCACAUAAGAGAGGGAAAGCCAUGCGCGUGGAGUCCAGCACAUCACCCAGAAGGCAGAUGUUCUAUCUCCAUUUUACUCAUUAAAACAAACAAAACCACACCUGGAUUGCCUGGUACUUAAAUAAAAUGCACUAUGAUGAUUGAAGAAAAAUC